AGUUGGUUUCCGUCACGAUUAAAUUGUUCGUUGCAUAAACUCGCAAAGCCGAGAUUAAUAACCCGGUUUUCCCAGAACACACUUAUGCCUGAAAAUGGAAGAACUUAUUGCAGAAGUUAGAGGGACGAAUGGUGCCUUUUACAAGUGUGUAAUAAAGAACAUACAUGAAGACGAGGUGACAGUUUCAUUUGAAAAUGACUGGCAACCACCAAAGCGUGCCAAUUUUACAGAGGUGCGUCCCACGCCUCCUAAGCUCACAGACAAGCCUGAGUAUCGGGAAAAUGAACAAGUGGAGGUAAG